CGAUUCCCUACGGGGUGCAGCAGGCGCGAAAACUUUACAAUGCGGGAAACCGUGAUAAGGGGACACCGAGUGCCAGCAUCAUAUGCUGGCUGUCCGGGUGUGUAAAAUACACCCGUUAGCAAGGGCCGGGCAAGACCGGUGCCAGCCGCCGCGGUAACACCGGCGGCCCGAGUGGUGAUCGUGAUUAUUGGGUCUAAAGGGUCCGUAGCCGGUUUGGUCAGUCCUCCGGGAAAUCUGAUGGCUCAACCAUUAGGCUUUCGGGGGAUACUGCCAGGCUUGGAACCGGGAGAGGUAAGAGGUACUACAGGGGUAGGAGUGAAAUCUUGUAAUCCCCGUGGGACCACCUGUGGCGAAGGCGUCUUACCAGAACGGGUUCGACGGUGAGGGACGAAAGCUGGGGGCACGAGCCGGAUUAGAUACCCGGGUAGUCCCAGCCGUAAACGAUGCUCGCUAGGUGUCAGGCAUGGCGCGACCGUGUCUGGUGCCGCAGGGAAGCCGUGAAGCGAGCCACCUGGGAAGUACGGCCGCAAGGCUGAAACUUAAAGGAAUUGGCGGGGGAGCACAACAACGGGUGGAGCCUGCGGUUUAAUUGGACUCAACGCCGGACAACUCACCGGGGACGACAGCAAAAUGUAGGCCAGGCUGAAGACCUUGCCUGAAUCGCUGAGA
rnacentral:rRNA from 1 species